GGUUAAGCGACUAAGCGUACACGGUGGAUGCCCUGGCAGUCAGAGGCGAUGAAGGACGUGCUAAUCUGCGAAAAGCGUCGGUAAGGUGAUAUGAACCGUUAUAGCCGGCGAUGUCCGAAUGGGGAAACCCAGUGCAAUUCGUUGCACUAUCGUUAACUGAAUACAUAGGUUAACGAGGCGAACCGGGGGAACUGAAACAUCUAAGUACCCCGAGGAAAAGAAAUCAACCGAGAUUCCCCCAGUAGCGGCGAGCGAACGGGGAGCAGCCCAGAGUCUGAAUCAGCUUGUGUGUUAGUGGAACGGUCUGGAAAGUCCGACGGUACAGGGUGAUAGUCCCGUACACCAAAAUGCACAGGUUGUGAACUCGAAGAGUAGGGCGGGACACGUGGUAUCCUGUCUGAAUAUGGGGGGACCAUCCUCCAAGGCUAAAUACUCCUGACUGACCGAUAGUGAACCAGUACCGUGAGGGAAAGGCGAAAAGAACCCCGGCGAGGGGAGUGAAAAAGAACCUGAAACCGUGUACGUACAAGCAGUGGGAGCACCUUCGGGUGUGACUGCGUACCUUUUGUAUAAUGGGUCAGCGACUUAUAUUCUGUAGCAAGGUUAACCGUAUAGGGGAGCCGCAGGGAAACCGAGUCUUAACUGGGCGUUAAGUUGCAGGGUAUAGACCCGAAACCCGGUGAUCUAGCCAUGGGCAGGUUGAAGGUUGGGUAACACUAACUGGAGGACCGAACCGACUAAUGUUGAAAAAUUAGCGGAUGACUUGUGGCUGGGGGUGAAAGGCCAAUCAAACCGGGAGAUAGCUGGUUCUCCCCGAAAGCUAUUUAGGUAGCGCCUCGUGAAUUCAUCUUCGGGGGUAGAGCACUGUUUCGGCUAGGGGGUCAUCCCGACUUACCAACCCGAUGCAAACUACGAAUACCGAAGAAUGUUAUCACGGGAGACACACGGCGGGUGCUAACGUCCGUCGUGAAGAGGGAAACAACCCAGACCGCCAGCUAAGGUCCCAAAGUCAUGGUUAAGUGGGAAACGAUGUGGGAAGGCACAGACAGCCAGGAUGUUGGCUUAGAAGCAGCCAUCAUUUAAAGAAAGCGUAAUAGCUCACUGGUCGAGUCGGCCUGCGCGGAAGAUGUAACGGGGCUAAACCAUGCACCGAAGCUGCGGCAGCGACACUAUGUGUUGUUGGGUAGGGGAGCGUUCUGUAAGCCUGCGAAGGUGUGCUGUGAGGCAUGCUGGAGGUAUCAGAAGUGCGAAUGCUGACAUAAGUAACGAUAAAGCGGGUGAAAAGCCCGCUCGCCGGAAGACCAAGGGUUCCUGUCCAACGUUAAUCGGGGCAGGGUGAGUCGACCCCUAAGGCGAGGCCGAAAGGCGUAGUCGAUGGGAAACAGGUUAAUAUUCCUGUACUUGGUGUUACUGCGAAGGGGGGACGGAGAAGGCUAUGUUAGCCGGGCGACGGUUGUCCCGGUUUAAGCAUGUAGGCUGAUUGUCCAGGCAAAUCCGGAUAAUCAAGGCUGAGGUGUGAUGACGAGGCACUACGGUGCUGAAGUAACAAAUGCCCUGCUUCCAGGAAAAGCCUCUAAGCAUCAGGUAACAUCAAAUCGUACCCCAAACCGACACAGGUGGUCAGGUAGAGAAUACCAAGGCGCUUGAGAGAACUCGGGUGAAGGAACUAGGCAAAAUGGUGCCGUAACUUCGGGAGAAGGCACGCUGGUGUGUAGGUGAAGUCCCUGCGGAUGGAGCUGAGACCAGUCGAAGAUACCAGCUGGCUGCAACUGUUUAUUAAAAACACAGCACUGUGCAAACACGAAAGUGGACGUAUACGGUGUGACGCCUGCCCGGUGCCGGAAGGUUAAUUGAUGGGGUUAUCCGUAAGGAGAAGCUCUUGAUCGAAGCCCCGGUAAACGGCGGCCGUAACUAUAACGGUCCUAAGGUAGCGAAAUUCCUUGUCGGGUAAGUUCCGACCUGCACGAAUGGCGUAAUGAUGGCCAGGCUGUCUCCACCCGAGACUCAGUGAAAUUGAACUCGCUGUGAAGAUGCAGUGUACCCGCGGCAAGACGGAAAGACCCCGUGAACCUUUACUAUAGCUUGACACUGAACAUUGAGCCUUGAUGUGUAGGAUAGGUGGGAGGCUUUGAAGCGUGGACGCCAGUCUGCGUGGAGCCAACCUUGAAAUACCACCCUUUAAUGUUUGAUGUUCUAACGUUGGCCCCUGACCGGGGUUGCGGACAGUGUCUGGUGGGUAGUUUGACUGGGGCGGUCUCCUCCCAAAGCGUAACGGAGGAGCACGAAGGUUAGCUAAUCCUGGUCGGACAUCAGGAGGUUAGUGCAAUGGCAUAAGCUAGCUUGACUGCGAGCGUGACGGCGCGAGCAGGUGCGAAAGCAGGUCAUAGUGAUCCGGUGGUUCUGAAUGGAAGGGCCAUCGCUCAACGGAUAAAAGGUACUCCGGGGAUAACAGGCUGAUACCGCCCAAGAGUUCAUAUCGACGGCGGUGUUUGGCACCUCGAUGUCGGCUCAUCACAUCCUGGGGCUGAAGUAGGUCCCAAGGGUAUGGCUGUUCGCCAUUUAAAGUGGUACGCGAGCUGGGUUUAGAACGUCGUGAGACAGUUCGGUCCCUAUCUGCCGUGGGCGCUGGAGAAUUGAGGGGGGCUGCUCCUAGUACGAGAGGACCGGAGUGGACGCAUCACUGGUGUUCGGGUUGUCAUGCCAAUGGCACUGCCCGGUAGCUAAAUGCGGAAGAGAUAAGUGCUGAAAGCAUCUAAGCACGAAACUUGCCCCGAGAUGAGUUCUCCCUGAGACUUUAAGUCUCCUGAAGGAACGUUGAAGACGACGACGUUGAUAGGCCGGGUGUGUAAGCGCAGCGAUGCGUUGAGCUAACCGGUACUAAUGAACCGUGAGGCUUAACCUU
rnacentral:rRNA from 1 species